GCAAAGACAGCCAGGAUGUUGGCUUAGAAGCAGCCACCAUUUAAAGAGUGCGUAAUAGCUCACUAGUCAAGCGACUCGGCGUCGAUAAUAAUCGGGCAUAAGUCCGGUGCCGAAGCUGUGGGAUUGAAAAAUCGGUAGGGGAGCAUUCCAGUUGCGUCGAAGGUGUCCUGCGAGGGGUGCUGGAGCGGUUGGAAGCGAAACUGUAGGCAUGAGUAACGAUAAGACGGGUGAAAAACCCGUCCACCGUAAACCCAAGGGUUCCUGAUCAACGCUAAUCGGAUCAGGGUUAGUCGGGUCCUAAGGCGAACCGAUUUAGGGUAGUCGAUGGAAAGCAGGUUAAUAUUCCUGCACCAGCGGAGAGGGACGGAGAAGUGUGGCAACAUAGACUGACGGAAUAGUUGAGCCUAGUCGUAUGACGAAGCGCAGUUGUGAAGCUUCUUCCAAGAAAAGCUCCCGCAUAAGCCCGUACCGUAAACCGACACAGGUGGCCGGGUUGAGAAUACUAAGGGGCUCAAGUGAAUCACGGUUAAGGAAUUCGGCAAAUUAACCCUGUAACUUCGGGAUAAAGGGUGCCUACGCAAGUAGGCCGCAGUGAAUUGGUCCAGGCGACUGUUUAUCAAAAACACAGCACUGUGCUAACUCGCAAGAGGACGUAUACAGUGUGACGCCUGCCCAAUGCCGGAAUGUCACGGAAGCGGGUUAGCUUCGGCGAAGCUCGUAACCUAAGCACCGGUCAAUGGCGGCCGUAACUAUGACGGUCCUAAGGUAGCGAAGUUCCUUGUCGGGUAAGUUCCGACGCGCAUGAAUGGCGUAACGACUGGAGCACUGUCUCCACUUCCGACUCGGUGAAAUAGUAGUGGCGGUGAAGAUGCCGCCUACCCGCGACAAGACGGAAAGACCCCAUGAACCUUUACUAUAGGCUUUUAUUGCACAUGAGUUUGUAUUGCGUAGGAUAGGUGGGAGGCUUUGAAGCGGCCGUUCUGGCGGUCGUGGAGCCAUCCUUGAAAUACCACCCUUUACCUAUUCGUGUGCUAACCCCGAUUCCCGUGAAGCCGGGCGGGGGACAGUGAGUGCUGGGUAGUUUGACUGGGGCGGUCUCCUCCGAAAGAGUAACGGAGGAGCGCAAAGGUUGGUUCAGCGCGGAUGGAAACCGCGUGUUGAGUGUAAGAGCACAAGCCAGCUUUACUGCGAGAGCGACGGCUCGAGCAGUCUCGAAAGAGGGCUCUAGUGAUCCUGCGAUCCCGUGUGGAAGGGUCGUAGCUCAUCGGAUAAAAGGUACUCUGGGGAUAACAGGCUGAUCGCUCCCGAGCGUCCAUAGCGGCGGAGCGGUUUGGCACCUCGAUGUCGGCUCAUCGCAUCCUGGGGCUGAAGGCGGUCCCAAGGGUUAGGCUGUUCGCCUAUUAAAGCGGUACGCGAGCUGGGUUCAGACCGGCGUGAGCCAGGUCGGUCCCUAUCUGUCGUGGGCGCUGCACAUUUGAGAGGAGUCUUCCUUAGUACGAGAGGAUUAGGAAGGACGAACCCCUGGUGAUCCAGCUGUCGCGCUAGCGGCACCGCUGGGUAGCUAAGUUCGGCAGGGAUAACCGCUGAAAGCAUCUAAGCGGGAAGCCCCCCUCAAGAUGAGAUGUGCUUGCUAUACGCGUGAGACCCCUGGAAGACCACCAGGUUGAUAGGCUGCAUGUGUAAGGGGUGAGAGUCCCUCAGCUAAGCAGUACUAACGGUCGAACGCUU
rnacentral:rRNA from 1 species